rnacentral:rRNA from 1 species
GAUGAACGCUGGCGGCGUGCCUAAUACAUGCAAGUCGAGCGAACGGACGAGAAGCUUGCUCCUCUGAUGUUAGCGGCGGACGGGUGAGUAACACGUGGAUAACCUACCUAUAAGACUGGGAUAACUUCGGGAAACCGUAGCUAAUACCGGAUAAUAUUUUGAACCGCAUGGUUCAAAAGUGAAAGACGGUCUUGCUGUCACUUAUAGAUGGAUCCGCGCUGCAUUAGCUAGUUGGUAAGGUCACGGCUUACCAAGGCGACGAUGCAUAGCCGACCUGAGAGGGUGAUCGGCCACACUGGAACUGAGACACGGUCCAGACUCCUACGGUAGGCAGCAGUAGGGAAUCUUCCGCAAUGGGCGAAAGCCUGACGGAGCAACGCCGCGUGAGUGAUGAAGGUCUUCGGAUCGUAAAACUCUGUUAUUAGGGAAGAACAUAUGUGUAAGUAACUGUGCACAUCUUGACGGUACCUAAUCAGAAAGCCACGGCUAACUACGUG